UCGUUCCAAAGAACCAAAUUCUACAAGGAUGAAGGCCAGCUAUGUUUCUGAAGCACCCAAACUGGAGAUGACAUGUUUGGCUCUGACUCCAAGUUUCCAUUAUGUCUCAGGCAUUAGGGGAGCUACAGUGAUAUACUGAUUCCAUAAUUCUGUACUCUUGACAAGCCACCAGUCCAACCAAUAAGACAAGGCAGAAUUAUUCCCUAGCAAAAUUAGUUGUAACAGAUAUGGCAAACCUGUGGCCUGCCAGAUGUUGGUGGACUCAACACACAUCACCCCAGCCAGGAUGCCAAUAGUCAAGAUGUAAAGAAAGUACUCUUUCUGUGAACGCCGAUUGCAGUGAAUAACGGCUUGGAGAUGCAGGAGAAAGACCUGGUGUUCUUUAAAGGCAGAACAAUUCUUUCAAGCAAAACGAUAACUGCAGAGCGGACAAAUGGCUCUUUACCAUCAGCCCAGCCUGGAGCUAUGUGCUACAAAAUUUGGCUAAAAGGGGGGAAAUGUUUAAAUGGGUGGAACUAUUUGGAGAACUUCUUAUAAAGUUUGGCUGCAAUUACAUAACUCUGAGCUCUGAUGAAAACAGGGGUGUCCUAAGGAAAAGUGGGACAUUCUGGGAUGAAAUCAGAAACUGGGAUGGCUUUUGUCCCUGGAAGAUAGACUCUUUUGGAGGGGCUGCAACCCAUUCAUACAAGGAUAUCUGCUUGGGAAAUGGAACUCUUUUUCCUACCCCACGUGUUCUCCCAACCCUCUGAAGCAGAUUGGGGCAGGGGCUCCCCAGGGGAGUACAAGGAGGGUAAGUUCUGUUGGCCAAAGAGAAGUCAUGGGAUGAGUUUGUUGGAUACAACUGUCUGGUGGUGACUUUGUACAGAGAAAAACAACAAUCUACACCUUUAUUUAAUAUGGUUGUGCCCCAGAUUUGGUCAAGGUCCAAGACCUGAGCUGAUUUGGGCUAAUUCAGGGCCAUGGUCAAGUCAGGUUGAGUUACUCCUGGACUGUUGUGGGUCACCUUGGGCAGCCCAGUGUGAUCUGGGUCAGUGCUGGAUUACCAAGUAGUCAGAGUUGGCACCUGCCUAUGCCCCCCAUGGCUUUUAGGGACCCCACAACAACAGAUAAAAAUAAUAUUGAUUUGAUCUUGAAAUAAAAUUACAAAAAAAAAAAAACAUAUUAGGGUUUGCAAGGAGGAACCCGAGAUUUUGACUGCCUAGGGUUUACUCUGGCACUUAACUGGAGCUCUCAGAGGCUGUAGCAUCAGGCAGGCAAGAAGGGGGGGACUGUAAAAAAAGAUAUGCCUAUCAUUAACCAAGGUUCAAAAUACGCAUUAUGUUACUGUCAUUUUUAAAUCUUGUGCUUCAGACUCUUUCAGUCUUUUAAAACUAAUUUUAAAACCAUGGUAUAAGAAGAGGAUUUUUGUAUUGUUUCUGCAUUGCUGAAAAUUGCCCACCCAUCUGCUAUUUGUCUUGGAGCUAGUAAAGUAUAACAAUAUCCCAGUACUUGUUAGGACAGAGGAAGAAGCAGGUUGAUGCUGAGAGACAUUGUAGUAGUUAGUCCCUUCCUCAGCUAGAAAGCUGGUUGGUUGGAUGACCUCUCUUGUCUUUUUACAGUAGAUGACAUUCCAGCUGUGCGAAAACACACACGUUUUUCCAUCCUCCAUCCAGGGAAGCAAGAAGCAUUAUCACAGUUCAAGGACACAUUCCAGCCAGGCAAAAGCACUUGAAGAGGAGCAGGGUUCAAGAAGGAGGAGGAGAGACAGGGAAGCAUGGAGGGCUGCAUUCAGCCCCCGG